UAUGAGACCCAGAGGCCUCCCCUCAAUUUCUGGCAUUUGAUUGUACUUGGAAGAGAUUGUAAUUUCUGGCAUUUGAUUGUAAUCUCAAUUGGAGGGUCCGGAUUUUUCCUUCUGCAGAGUGGUUGCUUAGGAUUUGAUGGACGAUGGGCUCGAGACAGAAAAGGGCUGUAAGGAUGGGGAAGGUCAAUAUUUCAUCUCCACUAUCUGAUGUGAAUUUCUAGAAUGCAGAUAUAUGUUCGGAGGAAAAAUGGCCACUUGUGAAAAACAACUGGUGAGUGAAAAUGAAGGAAUAUGAAAACUUGAAGUUGACAUCUCUAAGAAGUAGUUAAAGCUGGAAAUGACCAUACAUUGGGUUUUGUUACUGGUGGGUCUGCUCAUGUGCAAAUGCAACUUAGCACCAAAGAGUGUGAGAGUCUGGGAUUAACUGGUCUGGCUCUCUGCUUAGACUGCAACACCUUUGCUGAGUAUGUCAAGGACCAAGGUUGUACCUUUUUUAUUAUAUGAAUUUUGUUGAUCCUCAGAUAUUUAUGGUUUUUGGUGGAUUUUACUUCUGGGUUUUGAUGGGUUUUUUGAAUUGAUUACUUGCUGGUAAGUACAUGGGUUGUAAAAUGGUAAUAUUUGGGAUUCUUGUUUCUGUACUAUAGCUGAUUGGUUGUCAAAAUUAACGAAUAGUGGGAGAUAGAUGCAAUUCUUAUUGCUUUUAGUUGAUUUAAGGUCUGGGUUUUUUUUUGUUUGGAUUUAUGAAUUGCUUAUUUAUAUGUGAGAUGUCAAUGGUGAUAAUUUGGAA